CAGCCGCCGCGGUAAAACGAAGGGGGCUAGCGUUGUUCGGAUUUACUGGGCGUAAAGGGCGCGUAGGCGGACUGAUAAGUCAGGGGUGAAAUCCCAAGGCUCAACCUUGGAACCGCCUUUGAUACUGUUUGUCUUGAGUUCGAGAGAGGUAAGUGGAACUGCGAGUGUAGAGGUGAAAUUCGUAGAUAUUCGCAAGAACACCAGUGGCGAAGGCGGCUUACUGGCUCGAAACUGACGCUGAGGCGCGAAAGCGUGGGGAGCAAACAGGAUUAGAUACCCCCGUAGUCCCUGUCUCUUAUAC
rnacentral:rRNA from 1 species